AUUGGAUGUUAAAGCAGGCAGAUCCAAUUUUCUGCCACCGAAUACAUUAGCAUGGGAUAAUGGAAUAGGACCCUGUCCUCCUAUUUUCAGUUGGUUUGCCGCGAGGACCAGGGUAAUGAUUAAUAGGGAUAGUUGGGGGCAUUAAUAUUUAAUUGUCAGAGGUGAAAUUCUUGGAUUUAUGAAAGAUUAACUUCUGCGAAAGCAUCUGCCAAGGAUGUUUUCAUUAAUCAAGAACGAAAGUUAGGGGAUCGAAGACGAUCAGAUACCGUCGUAGUCUUAACCAUAAACGAUGCCGACCAGCGAUUAGGAGACGUUGAAUACAAAACACCACCAUGCGCAUUGCGGUCGUCUUUGGUGUCGCUCACAAGGCGGCACCGGGGCGGCUUAGCUCGCAUGGCACCGGUGAAUGACUCCCCUAGCAGCUUGUGAGA
rnacentral:rRNA from 1 species